AUUGAACGCUGGCGGCAUGCCUUACACAUGCAAGUCGAACGGCAGCACGGGAGCAAUCCUGGUGGCGAGUGGCGAACGGGUGAGUAAUAUAUCGGAACGUGCCCAGUCGUGGGGGAUAACGCAGCGAAAGCUGUGCUAAUACCGCAUACGAUCUACGGAUGAAAGCGGGGGAUCGCAAGACCUCGCGCGAUUGGAGCGGCCGAUAUCAGAUUAGCUAGUUGGUGAGGGAAAGGCUCACCAAGGCGACGAUCUGUAGCUGGUCUGAGAGGACGACCAGCCACAGUGGAAGUGAGACACGGUCCAGACUCCUACGGGAGGCAGCAGUGGGGAAUUGUGGACAAUGGGCGCAAGCCUGAUCCAGCAAGGCCGCGUGCAGGAUGAAGGCCUUCGGGUUGUAAACUGCUUUUGUACGGAACGAAACGGCGAGCUCUAAUACAGUUUGCUAAUGACGGUACCGUAAGAAUAAGCACCGGCUAACUACGUGCCAGCCGCCGCCGUAACAC
rnacentral:rRNA from 1 species